rnacentral:rRNA from 1 species
AUGCUGUUGCCCAUGGCACUAAAGAAUAUUUAUUAUAUACUUUUUCUUCAUCGCCUGCCUUUUGUGCUGGCCAUGGCAUUGCAUUCUCUCUGCAGGCUCUCGAGUGUCGUGGAGAUGUCUGCUCCCUCCUUGUCACCGACUCACCGUCAAGAAUGGAGCACGAAAAACAUGCCUGCAAGGAAAAGCUUCAGGAGAUGCGUACCAAAAUUUUGCACCGCAAACUGUGCAACAUUUCCCUACCAGAUUUUCGACCUGUCUAUUAUCUUUGUUCACAUGUCCUUGCAGAUUGAGAUGACAAGACCACCCCACAUCAGACAAACCUUCAUGACAAGGAUGUCUACAAAGUCGCAACUUUUGCAGGAUGGCAAGACACUGCAUUUCCUUCUCCGGUUCUCCACCACCCAGAGGAAUCCAACAGGUACGGGCAGCACAUAG